rnacentral:rRNA from 1 species
UGCCAGCCGCCGCGGUAAUACGGAGGGUGCAAGCGUUAUCCGGAUUUAUUGGGUUUAAAGGGUCCGUAGGCGGACAAUUAAGUCAGUGGUGAAAUCCAACAGCUCAACUGUUGAACUGCCAUUGAUACUGAUUGUCUUGAGUAUGUUAGAUGUUGGCGGAAUAGGUCAUGUAGCGGUGAAAUGCUUAGAUAUGACCUAGAACACCGAUUGCGAAGGCAGCCAACAAUGCCAUUACUGACGCUGAGGGACGAAAGCGUGGGGAGCGAACAGGAUUAGAUA